rnacentral:rRNA from 1 species
CAUCGUUUUUUGAUAAAAUAUUUAAGAUCUAACCUGCCCAAUGAAAAUUAAAUGGCCGCGGUAUUUUGACCGUGCAAAGGUAGCAUAAUCAUUAGUUUCUUAAUUAGAAGCUGGAAUGAAUGGUUGGACGAGAAAAUAACUGUCUCUGUAUAAUAAAUUAGAAUUUUAUAUUUAAGUUAAAAAGCUUAAAUUUUUUUAAAAGACGAGAAGACCCUAUAGAGUUUUAUUUAUAUUAAAAUAAAGUUGAAUUAGAAUAUGUGUAAUUUAUUUAUUUAUAAAUUUGGUUGGGGUGAUUGAAAGAUUAAAUUAACUCUUUUUUUAGUCUAUUAUUGAUUUAUAUAAAUUUGAUCCAUUAUUAAUGAUUAAAAGAUUAAAUUACCUUAGGGAUAACAGCGUAAUUUUUAUGGAGAGUUCUUAUCGAUAUAAGAGUUUGCGACCUCGAUGUUGGAUUAAAAUUUAUAAUUGGUGAAGAAGCUAAUUUAUUAAGUCUGUUCGACUUUUAAAAUUUUACAUGAUCUGAGU